rnacentral:rRNA from 1 species
UACGUAGGGUGCGAGCGUUAAUCGGAAUUACUGGGCGUAAAGUGUGCGCAGGCGGCCGAGCAAGUCGGGUGUGAAAGCCCCGAGCUUAACUUGGGAACUGCGCUCGAAACUACUUGGCUAGAGUGUGGCAGAGGGAGGUGGAAUUCCACGUGUAGCGGUGAAAUGCGUAGAGAUGUGGAGGAACACCGAUGGCGAAGGCAGCCUCCUGGGCCAACACUGACGCUCAUGCACGAGAGCGUGGAGAGCAAACAGG